rnacentral:rRNA from 1 species
GACGAACGCUGGCGGCGUGCCUAACACAUGCAAGUCGAGCGGGGAUUUAAGUGGAAGUUCUUCGGAAUGGAGAUUUAAAUUCUAGCGGCGGACGGGUGAGUAACGCGUGAACAAUCUGUCCCGGACAGGGGGAUAACACUUGGAAACAGGUGCUAAUACCGCAUAAGACCACGGCCUCGCAUGGGGCUGAGGUAAAAGGAGCAAUCCGGUUCGGGGUGAGUUCGCGUCCGAUUAGCUAGUUGGUGAGGUAACGGCCCACCAAGGCGACGAUCGGUAGCCGACCUGAGAGGGUGAACGGCCACAUUGGAACUGAGAGACGGUCCAAACUCCUACGGGAGGCGGCAGUGGGGAAUAUUGGGCAAUGGGCGAAAGCCUGACCCAGCAACGCCGCGUGAGGGAAGAAGGUUUUCGGAUUGUAAACCUCUGUCCUAUGGGACGAAGGAAGUGACGGUACCAUAGGAGGAAGCCCCGGCUAACUACGUG